ACCACGGUUCCUUUAGGAACCCCUCUAAAAAGAGAGUAAAAGAAUGU
rfam:Oryctolagus cuniculus chromosome 17, whole genome shotgun sequence.